GAAUAAGCAGUUAAAUAAAUACACAGGUAUGUGUGUGUGUAUGUGUGUGUGUGUGUGUGUGUGUGGUGUUUUUAGGAGGCAAAGGGCUGAGAACAGUUCAACCCAUCUGAUGAGUACGCCACCUGUUGUCUUUGUGGAAAGAGUCACAUAUGCUCUGUGGCUGACUUUAAUGUCGGGUUUAAUGGCGGCGCCUCUGGUCCUUUCCUUUUUGAGACUUAUUUCAGAAAGCAGGGUAGAAGGAACCUUUCUGUUGAGUUUAUAAUAGCAAUUACAAGCUGAUAAGAGCAGACCAUUCAUCAAGCCCUCAUACCUCCGGACUUUUAUCUCUUUGGGUCAAAUGUUUCCUGAUUGAUAUUGACUCCCAUAUCUUAAGCAGCUCUGAACAGAUAAGAGGCAAGCGAAGAAAUUCCUUUGAAGGAGAUUUGACAAAAUUAUGUUUUCUGAUUUUUUCCCCUUUUGAGAGAGAGAGAGAUUAACUUCUCAUUGUUCUUAUUAGAGAGUACAAAAGCUACCAAACAGUUGAAUUGAAGAAAAUCUAGAAGUUUCCUCGGGUAGAUAUUGACUCCGUCCCCACUGCAUGCAAAUAAGCACUAAGUACCUUGCAUCCCUUUUUCUGAAACCAUUUGAACAGAGCUUUUAAUACACUUAGCAUGGCCCUGUACCAACACACUUAGGAAUACACAGUGCCUGAAGAACAGGCAGGCACUUGGUAUAAAUAAAGGUCCUGCAGGAAACUGCUGUUGGAACCUUGUUUUAAAGGGCGAGAGCACAGGUUUUGGCAUGCAAGAUAACAGCUUUCCAUUGCAGUGACCAUGAGUGUUGUUAUGAAUCAAGUAUGGAGACAAUUAGAGAGUGUAUAAUUACACUCAGAACAGUAAACACCUUCCGAAAGGGUAUAUAAAUCAAUUAAACGGGCCAUACAGUGGCCGGUCACAUAAAAUUAUAUUGAAUAAAAUGUGUCAUCCAACAGUAUUUUCUACACACGUCCCUCGACUUUACAUCACGUGAUUCAUUCCCGCUGUGCCUUUUCCUCCCCAAUCUGAUGGUAAAGGGACCACUUGUCAUCCUAGCUGAAUUCAGUGGCACUGUCCUGGACAGAUUCACAUGGCUAUCUUUAAAAGGGGCUUGAAAUGGGGUAGAUUUGGGGUCAUUUUUCUAAUGGCUCUUUAGGGAAAGGGGAUCCAGAUUUGUCUGCCUGCCUUGAUUCAUUUUCGGUUUCUCCACGAGCCUGGUCAUUAGGACUGUUCAAGCCCAUUGGUGUCUGCUGCCUAAAAUGAGCUAGGUGACCUGCAUCGCCAUGUCUCCUGCAAGAGCAGCCGGAUAUUACAACAGAGGAGUAAUUAAAAGAACAUACCAAAGACAGAUGUCUCUCAUGCAUGCCACUACAUGCUACGAAACGGAGGAGCCACACCACAGCUCCCGUAUUUACACAAAGCCCUGAAGUUGUCUGUGUCUAAGGAAACAAGCCAACUCAUGCAGGCUGACCCCCAGGGGCCAUCAGAGCUAAAGUCCAUGGGAAGCUUAUUUGCAUUUAAAUGGCAAAUUGGAAACAUUUUUCGAAGAUAGUUGAUGAACAUAUUCCAAAAUGGCUUUCAUUAAAUAGGAGCCCAAGAUGUGAAUUUGCAUAGAUGGUGCUGGCCUUGUAAAUUCUCCCGUGCUCCUUGGGAAAAAAACAGCUGAGAAGCAACAAGUUGGCUGCCUAAUAAGGCCCCUAACGGACUUCCUUCUCAGGACUUUAGAGAGGUAUAGACGCUAGCUGGCUCAUUUACCUCUUGCUGCGUCUUUCCUCCAUCCCCCAACUGAGCCUAUGGACCACCUGGCCAGGCAGAACACCAAAGAGAGUGGCCCAAGGCUUUCCUCUCCCUCACGAAUUGAGCAUAUGACUUGUGAGUCAAUACAGGUGACAAGGUCAGUUUGUCUGUCCACUCACACAUAAUCCAAUUGAGAUUUAUGGGUUAUCAGCUAUGUCCUUGUGUGGAAUCCUACAUAAGGAAAUGAACCAGCGGGCCGUAGUACAAUAAAGAACACAACCCCGUGCUACUUCCAGGAGCUCGCAUUCCAGGGUGGGGACUUGCAAAUUACAGUGCGAACUGUGAAUAAAUACCAUCCCGGAGCAAAGUGAAUCCUUCCUGUCAGCUUCGGCAGACAGAGAAGAUAGUUUUAACUUUUGUUUUUUAUUUUCCCCUUGCAUAUUUUACUGGAACUCACGUAACAGGGCCUGGCACAUUUUACCCAGUGACUAAUAUAUUAAUCCCACUCUCCUCUUAGCCGUGUGGGAAUGUCAGUUGAGUCAGGGUUUAAAAAUGGGACUUGGGGAGAUUUGCUCUAGAUCUGUUGACUAAUAUCAAUUAAACCCCAGAACAUCACACACAAAUUGAAGAUGUCUUUUUCACUCUUCUUAAAGACCCAAAGAUGCACCUAGCUAAUAACCUGUUCCACAUCCUUAAUAAAGACCAGGCUAAUUAAAAAUUGUUUGCCGCCUGAAAAUGAAUAAAUGAAGAACCAUAUAUUAAAAUCAGCAACUUCCUUUGGCAGAAGACGCUGAAUGUGGGCUAGGGGGAAUGAAAGAAAUAAUUGUGAGCUUUUUAUCAUCUAUGAUGACGCAUACAAAUGAGGGGUUGUGUCACCCUGACAAGGCACAGGGGGAAGGAGACUCUUGGCAGAAUUGGCAGCCAGGGUUAGUAUCUGCAGUACAGAAGCAAAAAGGAUCAGAGUCAGUGUGUUAUGUUUUAAAUCUGAAAUGCCGCCUCCCACCCCCCAGCCCCAGAGAUUCAUGCUUGGAUUAAUUGUUCCCACAUGGUGGCGCUAUUCUUCAAGUGUCAUGGAGCCCUUGGGAGAUGGAACCUAGCGAGCAAAAAUUGGUCACUGGGGGUGGGUCUCUGAAGGUCUUGCUCUCCGCUCUGCUUGCUGACCUGUCCUAAUGUAAAAAUUUCUAUCAUAUAGCCCAGUCCCCAUGAACUAACCUGCUCCCACAGUGAUGAUGGGAUUCCAGUCCUUCUGAAACUGGGAACCAGAAGAAGCCUUUCCUACCUGAGUAGCCAGGACGCUGAGUUUCUUCUUCUUUCUGUCCCCCACUUUUCUAGGCUGUACACCAAGCUACAUCUUGCUCCAUCCCUUAUCUGUCAUCUUGAGUCUCCCUUCUGUAGGCCUGUGAUAUGAGGCUCCUCACUAGCUGAUGUGUUUAUCUUGCAGUAAGAGGACAGAGGUGCCUCCCUUGGGUUCUGUAGAGCCUGGAAAGUUGGGACCUCUGUUUAGAUCUUAAUGUAUGUUGUCCUCCAUCAGGCUAGAACCUGUACAUGCAUGCUUCCUAAAAAAGAAACUCACUCAUCUGACCCACCAGACUGGUGGUGACUUCUUUCUUCCUGCAGACUUUAAUUGGAGCAUCGCUCUUCCUAGAUCUCUUCCCCUAUGACUCCAUGAGGUCAGUGUCUCUGUGACACUCCAAGAACCCUUACUGGUCCCUUUAUACAACUCUCACAAUCUCACUAGAGAUAUAUUGGGAUGCUUGAUAUCCUUUGCGUGUAGCUCACUGAUCCAAGCUAGCAGUGAAUAAACUGAGCUUAAUCUAUCUUAAAUUCACAGAGGAACUGUAUAGGAAGUAUACGCCAGUUGCCCUUGCGGUCUGCUUUAAAUAAGGCCCCGCUUGCUUGCAUAUCAAGCCAGGCUGCUGUGUAGAGUGAAGAAGCACAGAGCGAGAGCUGAAGAAGACGCAUACAUACCUUUAAUCCCAGCUUUUGUGAGGUAGAGGCAGGAGGAUCACUUCAAGUUUGAGGCACGUUCCAGGCUGGCUAGGGACCUAGCAAAACCUUGUCUCAAAGCCAGAAAAGAAUAAAGAGGAAGAUGGCAGAGCCAAGGCAGUAACUGACGACUGCUUGUGGGUCUGAGGUGGGUUCACUGACCGUUGCCUCUUGCUCCUAGUGUCUGUGUCUCGGGUUCCUCCUCUUUAGCAUUAUUAACCAUAGCAAUUGGCAAUACCCAGCUACCGAGUAUACUACAAGAGGACUUAGAUGGCGAAGUGCCUAACAUCCGACACCUACAGAGGAUUACAACGCCUCCCAUGUUUGGCAUGGACAGAGAGGGCGAGGGUCUAUCUUUCCAGAAUAUUCCAGAGCUCGGAUGCUCUCACCUUCAGUUUAAUUCCUUCUUCCCCUCAGCCCUCCCCAAUCCUUACACACAGACUGUUCUCUAUUCCAGGGAACCCAUGGCCUCUCUCACUCUCUGUGGCUGUCACAAGCAAUAGUGAAAUUGGAGAUUAUACUUCUUUAUGCAUGCUCUUCCCCAAUAACUUAUAACCUCCUGUUGUGUGUCAGGCUUAAUUAUCCUCAGUGUUUUUCUCCAAAGUAAUUUCUCAGGGAAAGACAAAACCAAGACAAGAGAGUAGUCGUGAACAGUGUAAAUGGCGUGUAAGGCCUGAGACCUAGGAGUCAGAAAAGCAACCAGAAGAUUGGCUAGUGAUUAUGUGGCUGACACCGAUCAGAGCCCCGAAUCUCUUGUACAUGAGGAAAUGAUCACCCACGUGAGCCCGAUAGUAAAAAGGAUACGAGAUUGAUGAGUCAAGCCAACCCAUCCUCCAUGGCUUCACCACUUAAUAUUAGCAGAUGACUGAGAUCUGCUUGUCACAGACCCCUGGCUUUGCUCAGUUUUAAAUACUUGGCUUUGAUUUAUAGAAGGUUUUGUGGCCAGUCAUGACAUCAGAAUG
rnacentral:lncRNA from 1 species